UCUCUGCGUAAGAUUCCCAAUGGGAACUACCCUAACUUGACCCAAUUUGGCAUGGAUUGUGUAUUUUGAGAUUUCAAGAAUGACCUUAUCAUCUUCCAACAAACUCAAGAAAUGCAUACUCUGAUGUGUUGAAGUUGAAGAUUUCGAGAAAGAAUGAAAGCUGUAGCAGAAAACAUAGGGCUGAGAUCUCUCCAAGGUGAUUGUGUGGAGGUUUGCCAAUUGACCUUAGUGAAAUCAAAAGAGAAAAAUAGUUCAUUUGUGUUUGGAGGGGUGGCCUUCAUCUGAUCUGACCACAUGGAAAAGCUCUCUUUGUGUUGAUGAAGAAUUCUUCAUCUCAAACAAGAUAAACUGAUGUUAAACCCUUGGGGGGCACGUCUUCGUUUGGUUUUCUUGCAAGAAAACUUUAUCGGAUGAUGAUGUUGUUGAAAGUUACUUUCUAUGUAAUGCCAUAUGCAGCCAGUUUGUUGGCCGUUGUCUAUGAAUCCUUCAAAGACAGCCAUGGAUUGUGUACUUAAACCUGUUAAAGCUCGUAUUGUUGAAGUUCAAUUUCCUCUUGUCCCGCAUUGAAAGAUUAUAGCUUUAUCUAUGAAUCC